UUGUACUUCUAAGUAAAUAGAUGCUCAAAGUAACAAGAUGCUCUGGGUGUUCACUGGGUGACAAAGGCUACCCAGUAUUGGUUGUUUCUUUUUUCUGAAAAGAUGUUUCUAGUGAAUUGCCAAGUUGCAGUGGUUUUGACGCCACAGAACCAGCACAGCUCCAUGACAGAUAUAUAUGUUUUCGUCAUUGAUGUCAGUACUGCUGUAUUGGUGGCCUCACAAUUUCUGUGUGGAAAUGUCAUCUGAUACACUCAUAACGGCGUAUUUCUAGCAUAGCUUUCAUAAGUGCAUGGCCAUUCUCUGUCAUUUUCAGAUACACUGUGUUGUGUGUGGAUAAGAAAUGCAGAGUGGUACCACCAAUCACCUAAGCCACCAUUCCCCUAACAGACAAAAGGCUCAUGGGGACAGUUCCUGCAGUUUACAGCAAAUUGUAGCCCUACAAACUUCAGAUACUGCCAAGCUUGGGUGCACUGGGCCGGUUAUCCAGCCGUGUGGAAUCAACAUCUCCAGCUGAACUUGGGCCGGGAAUUAUAUAAGAAUCCUUAGCAGCAUGAGUGCCAGCCAGUCAUUGCUGUUCUUUGCAUUGCUGAGGAGGACAGUCCUGCCAACAUAAUAGUUUGUUCAAUAACAGG